CAGAAUGGAUUCUCAGAAAAUUAGGUGUUUGGCGCUACUAUACAUUGACAUGCACCAUACCAAAUGUUUGAAUGCUUCUAUGAACAUCAUCUUCCUUGCCUUUUACAUACACAAAAUCACACACACAUUUUUUAAAAAAUAGAUUCAGACGGUACAUGUGCAUGUUUGUUACAUGAAUAUACUGCAUACUGGUGAGGUUUCGGCUUUUAGUGUGCCCAUCACCUGAAUAGUGAACAUUAUACUCAACAGGUAAUUUUUCAAUCCUCACCCCGCUUUCAACCUCCCCACUUUUGGAGUCCCCAGUGUCUGUGGCUUCCUUCUGUACAUCCAAGUAUACCCAGUGUUUAGUUCCACUUGUAAGUGAGAAUAUAUGGUAUUUGACUUUCUGUUUCUGAGUUAUUUCAUGUAGGAUACGGGCCUCCAGCUCCAUCCUUGUUGCUGCAAGAGACAUGAUUUCUUCUUCUUUUUUUUUUUUUUUUUUGAGACGGAGUCUCACUCUGUCACCCAGGCUGGAAUGCAGCGGCGUCAUCUUGGCUCACUGCAAGCUCUUUUUUUCAAUUUUUACAUUUAAAAUUUUUGUGGGUACCUAUAGACAUCUUCUUUUUACAUUUUAAAUUUUUGUGGGUACCUACAGACAUCUUCUUUUGUAAAGUGCCCAUUCAAGUCUAUUGCCCAUUUUAGAUCUGUGAAGUAUUCUUUACACAGUCUUGAAAUGAGCCUUUGAUCAGUUAUAUGCACUGCAAAUAUUUUAUUCCACUGAAUGGCUUCUCUUUCAUUCUAUUUAUUUUUUUUCUUUGAGACGGAGUCUUACUCUGUCACCCAGGUGGGAGUGUAGUGGUGCGAUCUCAGCUCACUGCAACCUCCCAGGUCCAAGUGAUUCUCCUGCCUCAGCCUCCUUUUUUUUUUUUUUUUUUUUUUUUUUUUUUUUUUUUUUUUUUUUUUUUUUUUUUUUUUUUUUUUUUUUUUUUUUUUUUUUUUUUUUUUUUUUUUUUUUUUUUUUUUUUUUUUUUUUUUUUUUUGUGUUGGCCAGGGUGACCUCGAUCUCCUCACCUCGUGAUCUGCCCGCCUUGGCCUCCCAAAGAGGACAGUUUCUUAAACAGGAUACAGAAAGCACCAACUGUAGAAGAAAAUGUUGAUAAAUUGGGCUACAUUAAAGUUAAGGACUUUUCUUUAUCGAAAUAUACCAUUAAUAGAGUGAAAUGAUCCUUUGUGGUUCAUAAGCAUGAUGAUUGAGUGUUCACGUGCAUGUAUGAGAUGUGCCACCCUGAGACCUUGUUACGAAGUCAAUGUAUUACCCAUUUGAGAUUACCAAAAAAGAGUGAGCUGGGCGCAGUGGCUCACGCCUGUAAUCCUAGCACUUUGGGAGGCUGAGAAAGGUAGAUUGCUUGAGUCCAAGAGUUUGAGACCAGCCCAGGCAACACAGUGAAACCCUGUCUCUACAAAAAAAUGCAAAAAUUAGCUGGGCAUGGUGGUGUGUACCAGCUACUUGGGAGGCUGAGUGGGAGGAUCAUCUGAGUCCAGGAGGUCAAGGUUGCAGUGAGCUGUGAUCGCACUACUGCACUCCAGCCUGGGUGACAGAGUAAGACCCUGUCUCAAAAAAAAAGAAAAAAAUCUUCCUUUAUUCCAAAGUCAUGAACAUAUUCUCAUAUGCCAGCUUUGAGAAUUUUUAUUAUUUUGUAUUUCACACUUGGAUCCAUAAUCCACACAAGAUACAUUCUUCACUUUUUAAUUGAUGUAUAACUUACAGUACAUAAAUAUAUAUAUUCAUAUAGUAUAUGUACAUACUUUAUAUAUAUUAUUAUUUUAUUUUAGAGACAGGGUCUGGCUGUGUCACCCAGGCUGGAGUAUAACGGUGCAAUCUUGGCUCUGCAACUUCUGCCUCCCAGCGUCAAGUCAUCCUCCCACCUCAGCUUCCCGAGUAGCUGGGACGACAGGCGUGCACCACCAUGCCCGGUUAAUUUUUGUAUUUUUUGUAGAGAUGGAGUUUCACCAUAUUACCCAGGCUGGUCUCGAACUCCUGAGCUCAAGCAAUCCACCCGCCUCAGUCUCCCAAAGUGCUGGGAUUACAGGCAUGAACCACCGCACCUGGCCUAAUUUAUUUAUUUAUUUUUGUUACAGACAGAGUCUGUCUCUGUCAUGUAGACUGGAGUGCAAUGUCAUGAUCACAGCUCUUUGCAACCUUGAACUCCUGGGCCCAAGCAACCCUCCUGCCUCAGCCUCCUGAGUAGCUAGGAGUGCAGGUUCACACCACCAUGCCCAACUAAUUUUUUUUUUUUUUUUUUGUAGAGACAGAGUUCUUGCUAUGUUGCCCAGGAUGGUCUUGAACUCCUGGGCUCAAGCAAUCCUCCUGCCUUGGCUUCCCAAAGUGCUGGGAUUACAGGCGUGAGCCACUGCACCCAGUCUAAUUUAUUUUAUUUUAGAGAUAUAGUCUCUCUCUGUCACAUAGACUGGAGUGUACUGUCAUCAUCAUAGCUUCCUGCCACCUUCAGCUCUUGAGCCGAAGCAAUCCGCCUGCCUCAGCCUCCCGAGUAGCUAGGACUACAGGCACACACCACCAUGCCUGGCUAAUUUUAAAAUAUUUUUGUAGAGACAGGGUUCUUGCUACCUUGACCAGGUCGGCCUUGAACUCCUGGGAUCAAACAAUCCUCCUGCCUCAGCCUCCCAAAGUGCUGGGAUUCCAUGAGCCACCAUGCCUGGCUCUAAAUGCACAAAUCUUAAGUGUUCAGCAUGAUUGAUUUUUAUGUACAUAUGUGUACAUUUAGUAUAAAUGUGUGUCUGUGUGUGCAUAUACACAUAUACAUACAUAUGGUAACCAUUACCAGAUCAACAUAUUGAAUAUUUCUUACAUUCUAGAAGUACCUCCUCCAGUCAAUAACCCUAAAGGUUAUACUACUCUGCCUCUAUCACCACCGAUUAUUUUGCCUGUUCUUGAACUUCACAUACAUAAAAUCAUAUAUAUAUAUAUUUUUGAGACAUAGUCUCGCUCUGCUGCCCAGACUCGGAUGGUGUGAUCACAGCUCACUGCAGCCUCAACCUCCUGGGAUCAAACAAUCCUCCUGCUUCAGCCUUCUGAGUAGCUAGGACUACAGGUAUGUGCCACCAUGCCCAGCUAAUUUUUAUAUUUUUCUGUAGAAACAGUUUCAUUGUGUUGCCCAGGCUGGUCUCAAACUCCUAGGCUCAGGUGAUCUGGUCACCUCAGCUAACAAAGCGCUGGGAUUACAGGCGUGAGCCACUGCAUCCAGCCAAAUCAUCAAUUUUGUGCACUUCUGCAUAUAUUUUGUUCAACAUUAUGCAUGUGAAAAUCAUCCACGAACUACUGCUACAUGUAUGUUGUUGCAUGCUAUAUGCCUGUAGCAGUUCAUUCAGCAGUUCAGUAAUCUUCAUUACUAUAUAAUAUUUCAUCAUAUGAAUAACUACUACUUAUUUAUCCAUUCUGCUGUUGAUGAGCAUUUGAGUUAUUUCUUGUUUCAAGGUAUUAUGAAUAAAUCUGCUAUGAAUUUUUUUUUUCCAAGACAGUUUCGCUUAUUGCCCAGGCUGGAGUGUAAUGGCACAAUCUCGGUUCACUGCAACCUCUGCCUCCCGGGUUCAAGCGAUUCUCCUGCCUCAGCCUCCUGAGAAGCUGAGAUUACAGAUAGGUGCCACCACACCCAGCUAAUUUUUAGUAGUGAUGGGGUUUCACCAUGUUGGCCAGGCUGGUCUCGAUCUCCUGACCUUGUGAUCCGCCGCUUCAGCCUCCCAAAGUGCUGGGAUUACAGGUGUGAGCCACUGUGCCCUGCCAAAGUGGUACAUAAAAACUUUCACUCCGCCACCAGGAAGACAAUUUGCCCAACCCGUUCAAUACAGUUCCCGCUCAACAAACCCUAAUUUAGCAUCUUCUAUGUGUCAGGCAGUAUGCUGAGCAUUGGGACCUCAAGGAUAAGGAAGAUGCAGUCUCUGCCCUAGAGGAGCUUACAGCAGCAGGAGGUUUCUGUCAUAGGACAGACCCAGGGCUCACCAAGACUCAAGCAGAUGAUGAAGCCUGGGGCUCACUGGCCCAAUCAGCGUAUUCAGACUGGCUGGCUGCUUAUGAGCCUCUUGGGCCAGGGCUGCCUGCUCAGUGGGCAGCUGACUCUAGCUGCUGCAAAAUGCCUUUCACUCAAAGGUGCUAUCUACCAGUGAUUAUAAGGCAUUCCAAUUUUACUUGGAAGGGAGAUGCAGCUACCAGCUGUUUCUUCCCUCUCCCAACCACAAAGUAACACAUUUUUCAUUUGUCUAUCUGUUGUUUCCAGGUUUUUGCUUUUGCCAAUCCCCUCCCUCACAUGCCUUGAAACAAGCACUUUCAAAGACAAAGACAUAAACAACAAAAUGGUGCAGGCUGAGGUGGGUCAUCUUCUCUGCCUGCGUCUCCAACUCUGGAUCCUGCAGUUACUGGACUCAGGCCAUGGCUGACUCCUUCAUCACAGCUAAGAUGCUGCUGGGUUUAAGGCACUGUGACUUUCUGUGCCACUAAGACCGACAAAAAGCUGCCAAGUGAACGAUGACACAAAGAAAGACACAAACUGUGGGACCCAGCCCAACUUCAGAGCUGUUAAAAUGUGAACAAAAAUGCAUCCCGGAAUGGAUGGAAACCGAUCAUUCUAGUUGGUCUGACCUGCUCCAGUGCCUACAGUACGCGUCCUGACAGCGUGGGAGGGGAUAUGAAGGCCCCCCAGUCAAACAGGAGACAGCGUUAGCCUCCAAACUUAACUUUGUUCUCUCUUUCCCUCCUGGGGCCCAAUACCCGCCAGCCAGGACCUGUUUCUCCUCCAUCUCACAUUCUUUCCAGGUUCAGGACUGAAGUCGUCUUGUUCAGCUCCUUGGCUUGGCCAUGCUCACUCUACAAUGCAGCCCAUGGAUGGCGCCGCCUCUGCCCAGCACAUCCCUCUGCCUGGGCUCCUGUCUCCCCGAAUCCUGCAAACCCCAGCCCCAGCCUUUAGCGUUCAGCCGCCCUCCCCGCUUCCCUCAUCCUCCCUUGCGUCCUCGCAGUGAGAUUUCAACAUGUCAUCUCAGUUUUUUUGUUCUUUUACUUUCCUGACUACAAGAAAAAUAAAAUAAUCUGUCUUAAAGUGUAGCAUGAGGCCAAAUAAUUACGGAAUCCCAAGUGCUUUGGGCCCUGAUGUCAAAAGAGCCAAGAUGAAUUCAGAAUAUUACAAUGGUGCUGUUUCUGUGAAUACUGCUUUUUCAAGACGCCUUAUUCCUAACAUCAUGUUUUAUAUCCAUCCUUUUAAACAAAUAUUUAAUAGCCUGGGAAUGCUGGCGAGGGCAGCGGCUCCUGUCAGCAAGGACUGAGCUCACAAUUUGAAAGCUGAAAGGAGAUGCGUUCUACCCACAAAGAAAACGGUCUCCAGCAUCAUAAACUCCACAUCCAUCAAACCGGGCAGGGGCUGGGAAUAGAAAGCCUUUCUGGAAAGAAAACACCAGCUACCCUUUGCACCCUGGGGAACAUUAAAAAUCAAAACAAAACAUACCACAUCAACCAAAACAUAAACCAGUUCUCAAACCAAUCUAAGGUUCCACCCCACCAAGGCCGGCCGCGCAGUGGCCUGUGGAGAGGAGGGCCCGGCUCACGUCGGAACCCGAACUACGCGGGGUCGCAGGAACCUGAAAAGCGCCAGAGUAGCCCGGCGGCCGCACCGGGGCUGACCUGCAGGGCCUGGACCAGCCAGGAGUCCCAGGGAAGUCGAGUGCUCUCUGAGCGCUAACCACGGGCCCCUGCGGUUCCUCGGCCUCAGUUUCCUUACCUGUAAAAUGGAACCGCUGAUCCUGCCUCCUGAGUUGUGGAGCGAGGCCCGCACCUGGAAGCCUUGGCCACAGACGGCGGGAAGGGCAGGGCACCGGGGUGAGGGAGGGUGGCGGGAAUUCGCACGGCCUCAGAGGACGGGGCCAGCUAGCCGGGAAAGGAAGCAGGAGCAGGCUCCCCAGGCGGCGCAGUGGGAGGACCCCAAGAGUUGCGUCCCUAGAUCCAGGGCCGCCAACGUUGCACCUAAAGGUCCAGUUCUGGGGAUUGAGUUCCGACUCCAAGCCAAGCUGCCAGCUCACAGCCGCCGCCGCCGCCGCCGCCAGCUGGGGAACUCGCCGGCCAAGUGCGCACCCUCUUCCUGUUAGCCCUCCACGUGCGCGCCCUCUUCCUGCUCGCCCUCCACGUGCGCGCCCUCUUCCUGCUCGCCCUCCACGUGCGCAUCCACGUGCGCGGUAAUUGGCUGGCGGAAGCUCCUGCCCCCAGGCAGCCCUGGGUCACGCGCACUUGUAGCUUGCAUUUACCAAGACAGUGAGACAGUGGCCUGGCGCGGUGCCUCAUGCCUAUAAUCCCAGCACUUUGGGAGGCUGAGACGGGACGAUUGCUUGAGCCCAGGAGUGAGAGACCUGCCUGGGCGACAUGGCGAAACCCCGUCUCUACUAAAAAUACAAAAAUUAGCCUGGCGUGGGCAAGGCGCGGUGGCUCAUGCCUGUAAUCCCAGCACUUUGGGAGGCCGAGGCGGGCGAAUUGCCUGAGGUCAGGAGUUCCAGACCAGUCUGGCCAACAUGGUGAAGCCCUGUCUCUACUAAAAAUUAAAAAAAAGUUAACCGGGCUUGGUGGCUGGCGUGCGCCUGUAAUCCCAGUUGAGCGGGAGGCUGAGGCAGGGGAAUUGCUUGAACCAGGGAGGUGNNNNNNNNNNAAAAAAGUUAACCGGGCUGGGUGGCUGGCGUGCCCCUGUAAUCCCAGUUGAGCGGGAGGCUGAGGCAGGGGAAUUGCUUGAACCAGGGAGGUGGAGGUUGCAAUGAGCUGAGAUCGCGCCACUGCACUCCAGCCUGGGCGGCAGAGCAAGACCCCUUUUCAAAAAAAAAAAAAAAAAAAAAAAAAAAAAAAAAAAAGCCGGGCAUAGUGGUGCAGUGCCUGUAGCCCCAACUACUUCAGAGGCUGAGGUGAGAGGAUCACUUGAGCCUGGGAGGCGUAGGCAGAGGUUGCAGUGAGCCGAGAUCGUGGCACUGUACUCCAGCCUGGCGAAAGAGCAAGCCCCCAUCUCUAACACACACACACACACACGUGUGAGAUAGCUGUGUCUGUUUGGCAGUGAUGAGCUUCCCUUUAUGGGAGAUUUACAUAAUUAUUCAUAAAGGAGCGGGAAUGGGCAUUACCGUUAAGCAUGUUACGGGGUCUCCCAGAUGUGCAUGUGCGUGCUAGUACACCACAUCACAUGUCUCAUUAGCAUUUUAAUUCCUCACCCAGGGGUGUGUUUUUUAGCAUUAAAAUGAGCAUAGGUCAUUCCAAGAACACUCUAAUCAUGGGUUUCUGCACUUGUGUGAAUUUGGGGAUUUUCCCUUCUGCUGUUCAUCCUCUUUGCUGCAGGAUGUUCUAACUAGGAGCCUGAUGCAGUUUAUGCACCAGUGGGCGGUUUGUUCUCUCCAUCAAUCUGGCACAUUCAUUCCCCUUUAAAGGAGGCUAUGACCACUGUAUCUAACCGACCUCAUUUUCCCCCUCAGAGACUUUGGGUCCAUGUUCUUAUGAAAUGUGGAGGGCUGGGUCAUUUUUUCUGGAGCUGCUUCGUGCUGAGACAGGACCAGGGCCCGAAAGUCUCUUCUUGCCUGAUUUAAAGUGAUAGGGGUCAUAUCCUCCACUGGGAUAAGUUGAAAUCCUUGCAUAACUAUCAAUCUAGGAAUUGUUGUAACCUAGAAGACACAGACUUUAAAGGAGCUUAAACAAGCAAGGACCAAAGGUCAGUAGUAAUAAGAUGGCUAUUGUAGGUCCCAUGAAAGGUAGCAGAAUGAAGCAUCACAUCAUUAUUCAGCAAGCAGAAGAACAAAAAGAGCUCCUACAAAUAGGAGACCUGAGAUGGGACUACCUUAUGUUGAAGUAAUAUUAAUCUCUUUAUUUGGGGUGUUGGCAUCUUUUCUUGAAAAUGAAUGUUAGGUCUUCUAUAGGCUUACAAAAAGAUUUUUAAUCUUUAGUUGUUGAUGUAGAGUCCUGUGGAAAUGUAAGGGAAACAGUUUUUAUCCGAGAGAGAUGCACCCAGCUGGCAAUGUCCUGGAUUCUCUGGACUAUGCUGUGUUAUGGUGGUCAGCUGGGCUUUUGAGAGUGCUCCUAUGAGAAGGGGUUCAGUUGGUUUCAUUGGUUUUAAAGAAGCCCCCAACGAGGGUAGCAACAAGGGAGUUAGGCAUUCACGUCCUUGAGUCUGCAAAUUAAAGGUUGGGUGGCUGGGCACGGUGGCUCACGCCUGUAAUCCCAGCACUUUGGGAGGCCGAGGCAGGCGGAUCACGAGGUCAGGAGAUCAAGACCAUCCUGGCCAACAUGAUGAAACCCCGUCUCUACUAAAAAUACAAAAAAUUAGCCGNNNNNNNNNNGGAAACAGUUUUUAUCCGAGAGAGAUGCACCCAGCUGGCAAUGUCCUGGAUUCUCUGGACUAUGCUGUGUUAUGGUGGUCAGCUGGGCUUUUGAGAGUGCUCCUAUGAGAAGGGGUUCAGUUGGUUUCAUUGGUUUUAAAGAAGCCCCCAACGAGGGUAGCAACAAGGGAGUUAGGCAUUCACGUCCUUGAGUCUGCAAAUUAAAGGUUGGGUGGCUGGGCACGGUGGCUCACGCCUGUAAUCCCAGCACUUUGGGAGGCCGAGGCAGGCGGAUCACGAGGUCAGGAGAUCAAGACCAUCCUGGCCAACAUGAUGAAACCCCGUCUCUACUAAAAAUACAAAAAAUUAGCCGGGCGUGGUGGUGGGCGCCUGUGGUACCUCAAGAGACAUCUUGGAAAUUCUUAUUCCAAGAAGGCAGCAAGUUAGUGAGAAGGAUGCUGUCUGAAAUCACAUUUAUCUGUGUGCCAAACCUCAUGUCUGAUUCAUAAAUCGUUAGACAUCUGUAGUCUUAAAAGUCAUUCUAGAAGUGAACCCAGUGAAAUGAAAAAUAAAGGAUAAGAGAUAGAAGAAAGAGAGGCAGGUAAGUUUCNNNNNNNNNNNNNNNNNNNNNNNNNNNNNNNNNNNNNNNNNNNNNNNNNNNNNNNNNNNNNNNNNAAAAAAAAAAAAAAAAAAAGGUAAAAAGGUUGGGUAAAGUAUCUGGUCCGGGUUUUUCAUCAAUUCCCGUGGCAGUGCAGUGUUUGGCCUAUUUGGCCUACUAGGGUCGACGGCAGAAUGAAAGGACUGACAGGCUGGUCCCUGUAUGUAAUAGAAAAUUAGCUACACCUGCCACGUGCAGGGUCACUGGAUUCCUCUGUGGUAAUGGGGACUGAAUGACAGCCAGUGUUAGCCUUGGGUCUCCUCAGUCUUCAGUCAGGGCCAUCAAGGAAUUGGAAGCCCUGUCUCCCUCCGGAGUUGGGGGCAGUCCUGCUUCCAGUGACUGACAUCUCUGCAUUGUGGAUAUGGUCUAGAUGGAAUGGACUUUUGGGCAUUUUGUCCCUUGGUCUGGCAGUUUUGGGGCCAGUGUCCUGGUUUUAAGUGUAGCAGGUGUCCCCAGAUUGGGGCUUGGUCUGGACUGGCUUGUUCUCUCUGAUAGCAAGGGCCAAUCAUUGGAGGCCUGGUUUACGUCUCUUGCCUCUUCCCUCUUUCACUUUUUAGCCUCUUCUACUCUGUCUCGUUACAGAAGACUUCAAAGGCUACAUUAAGUAGCUCAUUCAUUGGUGCCUGGGGACUUACAGCCAGUUUUUGUAACUUUCUCUUAAUAUCUGGAGCAGAUUGACUAAUAAAAUGAGUCCCCAGAAGAAUUUGACCUGCCUCAGAGACAGCAUCUACAUUGGUAUAUUUUCCUAAUGCCUUUACAAGGCACCCCUGUGAAGACUCAAAAGGACCAUAUAAUAUUUCAAAGGUGCUGGGUUGCAGAUUGGUCUUGGGAGCCGCUCUUACUUGGAGGAAUGCUAGAGGCAAUCACUUUAAUAAGGACUCAGAAGUCUCUUGCCAGAGCUUCGCCAGAGUUUUCUUUACGAUUAGCUUUUUCUAGCUUUCCUGAGGAUGGAGGUCUCCAGGAAGCAUGUAAAUGAUCACUUACUCCUAGAGUGGUAGCACUUGCUGGGUUAUUUUGGAAACAAAGGAGGGGCCAUUGUCGCUUUGGAGUGACAUAGGUAGCCCAAAUCGGCGAAUGAUUUCUUUUAAGAGGCACUUGUGCCUUUUCUGUUUUGGUGGAGUAGGCUUCAAUCUAUCCCAUGAAAGUAUCUGUAGAGAUCAGUAAGUGCUUAAAUCUUUACACUGGUGGAACUUAGGGAAAGUCUAACUGUCUGUCUUCCCCUGGGUACCUUCCUCUCCUCUGUACUGGCAUCAGUAAUGGAAGUGGCCUUAUUUUCCUUUCUGGGUUAUUGAUAGAGUAAAGUGGUCUCGCUGUAGUGUCUGCUUUUGCAGUAGUAGCUAAGCCUGUUCCCUUAAGGGUUCAUGUGACCAAAGCGUUAGAGAGCCCCUUCCUAGGUGUCUGUAACCCCCUUUGAUUAAUUUGCAUUGAUGACCUUGAGGUAUUAAAAAUUUUGAAUUUUGGGGCCGGGCACGGUGGCUCACGCCUGUAAUCCCAGCACUUUGGGAGGCUGAGGUGGGCAGAUCACGAGGUCACAAGAUCGAGACCAUCCUGGCUAACACGGUGAAACCCUGUCUCUACUAAAAAUACAAAAAAAUUAGCCAGGCGUGGUGGCGGGCGCCUGUAGUCCCAGCUACUUGGGAGUCUGAGGCAGGAGAAUGGCGUGAACCCAGGAGGCGGAGCUUAAAGUGAGCCGAGAUCGUGCCACUGCAUUCCAGCUUGGGCGACAGAGCAAGACUCCAUCUCAAAAAAAAAAAAUUUGAAUUUUGGGUCCACCAUCAUUAGGGUCUUGGUAUUAUCCCUGUUCAGUUGCCCACUCCCUUUCAGUUUGUGUGUCUGCAGGCACUAGCUCAGGAGCCAUAGUUUCUGGGAUGGGAGCCCCUGCUACAAAUGGAAGGGACACAGCCUGUUUAGCAGUUGCAUUUGCUAAAUUAUCAUUUUUUUUUUUUUUGUUGCAGAGUUCCCUCUUUGGUGUCCCCUGCAGUGCAUAACAUCAACUGGUAACUGCUUAGUCUUUGGGCUAAGUCUGGCAUUGAGAAAAGAAUGUGAACUCGAAUGGUCCCUGCCUCUUUGUUAGUUAAUUCCCUACGAGGGAGUAGCCUGUUUUCUGGUUUGAGUGGGUGUCCUAGCGCGACUGGGCCCUUCUGGGAGUGCUGGGUGAAUGGGUUGAUAUGGAGGAGGUGCAGUAGAAGACUGCAAGUCUGGUGAGGAAGGACCACUAGAAGGAGUAGAGGCUCUAGAGGUUUGAGGAAUGAUCCCUGGACUAGAUUUGAAGAAGGAGAGCUGUUAGUGGGAGGCAUACUUCCUAAUACAGUGUCACGAAUUACAUCAGAUUCCCUUGAACCCUUCUGAACAACAUGGGCAUAACACAUUUGUCACUGGUCUCUAAGACACUUGUGGGUUUUAAUUUUUUUUUUUUUUAAUAGAGAUAAGGCCUCACUAUGUUGCCCAGGCUGGUCUCCUGAGCUCAAGACAGCCUCCCACCUUGGCCUCCCAAAGUCCCCCCAAAGUCCCAAAGUGAUUACAGGCAUGAGCCACUGCGUCUGGCAGAGACUUGUCUUAAUAUAAAACCGUUUGGUUAGAGGGAGGAAUAAUAUCAGGUUGCCCUGGGCCCUUGGGGAAUUUCUGACCUUCCUUUCCUUUUAUAAAAAGGUUUAAUUAUAAAAUGGUAUUGUUGGGCCGGGCGCGGUGGCUCACACUGGUAAUCCCAGCACUUUGGGAGGCCGAGGUGGGCGGAUCACGAGGUCAGGAGAUCGAGAUCAUCCUGGCUAACACAGUGAAACCCCGUCUCUACUAAAAAUACAAAAAAUGAGCCGGGUGUGGUGGUGGGCACCUGUAGUCCCAGCUACUCGGGAGGCUGAGGCAGGAGAAUGGCGUGAACCCGGGAAGUGGAGCUNNNNNNNNNNNNNNNNNNNNNNNNNNNNNNNNNNNNNNNNNNGGUGACAGAGCGAGACUCCAUCUCAAAAAAAAAAAAUAAAUAAAUAAAUAAAAUGGUAUUGUUUGGGGCCAUGCCGUAUUACAAAAGAAGAGAAGUCUCUUUUUUUUCUAGUCCAUUCAGUUUAAAAUAAGACCAAUUUUGGAGAAUGCAUCUGAGGGGGCAGUGAGCAGAGGGUUGGUUACUGUAUUAUUCCGCUCUCAUACCGCUAUAAAAACUACCUGAGACUGGGUAAUUUAUAAAGAAAAGAGGUUUAAUUGACUCACAGUUCCACAGGCUGUACAGGAGGCAUGGCUGGGGAGGCCUCAGGAACUUACAAUCAUGGCAGAAGGUGAAGGGGAAGCAAGUACAUUUUCACAUGGUGAUAGGAGAGAGAGAAAGAGAGUGAAGGGGGAAGUGCCACACACUUUUAAACCAUCAGAUCUCGUGAAAACUCACUAUCAUAAGAAUAGCAAGGAGGAAAUAGCCCCCAUGAUCCAAUCACCUCCCACCAGGUCCCUCCCCCAACAUUGGGAAUUGCAAUUCAACAUGAGAUUUGGGUGGGGACACAGACCCAAACCAUAUCAGUUACCCAUCUUGAUUAGUAGCCUAAUGUCAAAAAAAAAAAAAAAAAAAUGAAGAAGGCUCUAAGCCUGAAGAGACAAAAUUUAGCUUGGGCGUCCCCUUACUUUCGCUUGGGCUUCCCAGGCCCCGCUGUCCUUGGUGUCAAGCGUACCUUGAUGGCCAGCUGACAGUCUUCCCGAAAGUGGUUUUACCAGUUUUCCCACAAGGAGAGGUACCACUUCUAGUCCCUGUCUUUACAGUUAUUGGUGAGUGACCAAUGUGGAAUGAGGCAGAUAAACUUAUUUUCCUCAUUUAGCUGAGGGAGUCUUUUCCUGGGCUUAGACUCUUCUGGCCUUUUCUGUACAUCUGAUAUUCUCUUAUUAAAGGCCCAGGACUUGGGUGGGCAGCCCUAGAGCUGACAUUUCUAUGGUACCAUGAUCUCUCUACGUCCCAUUUUCCUCUCUUAAAGAGCAACUGUAUGAAGGGAAAAUGAAGCAGGGGAAAAAAGAGCAACUUAAGGAUCUGGAAAACAGCCAAGCCUACUAGGGUUGGGGGAGCAUCAAUUGAUUGAAAGGCCCGUUUUCGGCGAGGUGCGUGGCUCAUCCCUGUAAUCCCAACACUUUGGGAGGCCGAGGCAGGCUGAUCACGAGGUCAGGAAUUUGAGACCAGCCUGGCCAACAUGGCAAAACCGCAUCACUACUAAAAUCACAGCAGUGAGCUGAUAUCACCCCAUUGCACUCCAGCCUGGGCAAUAAGAGUGAAAUUCUGUCUCAAAAAAAAAAAAAAAAAGAAAAAAAGAAAGAAAGAAAAGAAAGGCUCAUUUUCUAUUUGCCUGAUCUUNNNNNNNNNNNNNNNNNNNNNNNNNNNNNNNNNNNNNNNNNNNNNNNNNNNNNNNNNNNNNNNNNNNUUUUUGAGACAGAGUCUUGCUCUGACGCCCAGGCUGGAGUGCAGUCGUGCAGUCUCGGCUCACUGCAAGCUCUGCCUCCCGGGUUCAUGCCAUUCUCCUGCUUCAGGCUCCCGAGUAGCUGGGACUACAGGUGGCCGCCACCAUGCCCAGCUCAUUUUUAGUAUUUUUAGUAGAG
rnacentral:lncRNA from 1 species